UAUUCCUUUCUUCUUAUUAUUAUUUCUUAUAUCUUAUUUUCCUACUUCUAUCUUAUGUGUAUAUAUGGGAAACUCUUUUGUUCAAAAGGAGAAGAAAAUAGAGGAGGUGAAUGUUCCUAAAUUAAUUAUCUAGAACUACAAUAAAGUAACUUCACUUAGGAUAAUUCCAAGUUAGGAAAAUAUUUGGAAUGGUUUGAAUGCGUGUGUUCUCCUGAUAUCUUUGUAAGGGAAAUCAUUCUAUAUGAGAACCUGUUUUAAAUUGUAUCUUACUUUCCUAGCACUUCCUCAUCAGUUUGAGAGGAUGUGAAAUUAAAACGUCUCAGCUUUCCCUCCAGUAAAAGAUUUUUAUUUUUUUUUUCCUCUUAGAGCCCCACAUAACAACUUGAUAAAUACUGUGCUCUCCUGGUAUUUUCCUUUAUUAUCAUCUUAAACCUUAUCAAACAGUAUGCCUUCUUUCAGUCCUCUACAUGGAGUCAACCAGAGGCAUCAAACAUUUGUGUCUGAAUAGCCCUCCAUGUCCUCAGAAACUACCAACGAGAUUCCCUGCCUGAGCAAAUCACCCGUAGUUGAACAUGACAAACCAUCGUCUUUUCCACAUUUUCACCUGGCUGCCCAUUUUCAGCAAGUAACCUGAUUUCUCCAUGGGUUCCUGGAGGUAAAGGAGCACAGCAGGGUUACCCUGAACCUCUCAAAAUACAAAGGUAAAAGAAUAAGAAAGCUGUCAGUGGAAGUAGCAUGCCCCAUGACUGAAACUGUCAGAAGUGGUUCAGAAAUGAAAUCUAUGCCACCAGGAAACAAUUGUCUGAGAUUGAAAGCUGCUCUAGCUUAGCUACCAGGCACCUCUCCAAGAUGAACAACACCUCUUGGACUGUUGUCCCUGCAUUUCUUACCCAGGAAGGAAAUCUGUGCAGAGGUGGUGUGGGAGGUUUACCUCCUGGUUCAAGGAUGCCGGCCUUAGAACUCAAAGCUUCUCUCUGCUCUGUAGAAGAGAAACUUCACCUACAUUGUAUCUGAGUAAGCUGGAUGAGGGAAGUGACCUGAAACAAGAGACCUGAUGCCUGACCUCCACACACCAUGCUUGAUCUCAGAAGAUAUCUGGCUCCAUUACAUCCCAGACAGACUGAAUCUGUUCCAAGAACUGUUAAUAUGUCCUGAGUUUGGAACCAGGAAGGCAGAAGAUGAGCAAUGAUCUGGGCACUUCACAGAGACUGUGCAAUAUAGCAGUCAAGGACAGCACAGUUCAUGGAGCUUAAUCUCCAAAUCAUUGAGGACACUUCCUUGGCAGAGAAGAGAGAUGCCACAAAAGAUUGCCCAGACAGCCAAAGUCAUGGCAAAGACAGUGUAUCUGAGAGACCUGGUAGAAGCGGACAUCUAGAGCUCACUUGUAACCAGGUCAUUGUGCUGCCAAGACAACAGCUUGCAGUGUCACUCACCAGCAGAGAAGCCAGAGUGGAAAUAGCUGGAUGAUUCUGGAGACACCGGAUCCCUGAUGAUGGCUGCACCAAAUAAUCAUCCAGAGGGUGAGAACACUUCAGAUGUCCCUCUGGUCGUAUCUGCUCUUCAGCACAGCUGGCUCAUAUUUUGCAGGUAGGAGAGCUUGAAGUUACCCCAAGUGUACAUAACAGUAUACAUAACACAGCAGGUCACUUAGAGCAGCAACCACACAGAUGAAUAAAGGAAGACACAUUGUAUACCCUUUAGCUACAAACAUUAGCUGUUAGUUACCUUGUAUACAGGUAGCUUUGUUCAGUAAUAGGAAUUUUUCCAGGCAAUGUGUUGGGAGGUGGAAGAGAGGGCAGGAAAUAAAUAAAAAUUGUAGGAAGUAAAAUGAGCAUUCUUCAACAUGUACCUCAAUAGCUUAUAGAAGUACAGACUUGCCUUUUCCACAGUCCAGCCCAGCACAUCGGUAGAAUCUCUAGCCCUAGUUCUUUGGCAUUUAACCAGGCUAUCUUUCACACACUUCACAAGAGUGUAGGAUUUCAGUCUCAAUUAGAGGUAUCAGCCAUUCUCAAGCCAAAAGAAAUGCACUGGUUGUGGAAGGAUCCUACAACACUAAUUCUUUUUACUGGUACCUCUGUUCAGGAUGUAAUGCUUCAGCUCUGAAAUGAAUUCUUUCAUAUAGGCACAAAGGCAUUUCAGUAUUUAUUCAUAGAGUUUAAGUCCACUGAUAGUCAACAAACCUGAUUUACUGCACAGUUUAUGUCAGAGCAAAAGUAACUUCCUCAGCUAGACCAAAACUGAUGGCUGAACCAAAAUACCCAGAUCUAAAUCCAAGACUAAAAGAGGUAUCCCAAGUCUGUAGAACUCAUUCCCUGUCACUAUGGACAAUUGCUUCACAUAAACCCUUUGUAAAUGAACAUAACCGUUCCCUAGAACUGCACAGGCAUUUUUGCUCGUGCUAUUCCUGUUGUUCUAAAAACCUCACCCCUCUAAUGAGCCACCUUGUAAUUACCAGCAUAAAUGUAAUCAUAACUAGCUUGUGUCUGUUCACUCUUGCAAAAUAUUGCCCUUCAGCCUAACUUGGGGUUUUUUGUUUGUUUGUUUGUUUUUGCGAGUGUGUGUUUCAUUUUGUUUUGUAUUCCCUCUCCCUCAUAUUUGCCCCUCAGUACAUUCAUAGAUAGCACAAGCUUCUCCUUAGCUAAAAAUUUCAUUUUUCAAGGCCAGAGAUAAGGAGCUCUUCUAGUCAUCCAUAAAAAAACUACCACCCUCCUUCUGCACCCAUUCCAACUUCAGUGCAAGUAAUAUAAGAGGUGACUUUUGUCUUUCUCACUCCCCUUCAGGCACAGGUGACCACAACCACAGCUGGAAGGCAGUGUGUAGUCUCUCCAAAACUUUCAGUGAAGGCAAUUCUAGAGAAUAUCACACCUGAUCACAUUUGCCUUUUUAUGUCCAUAUUGUACUGGUGGUCAACACCUACAGACAAGCCAACACUAUCAGAGCAGAGAAAUUCCAAUAAAAUACCUUUCAGCAUCCCCCCUUCAGCACCGUGUCACAUUCUCUUCCAUCAUUUCUUUACACAUAUCAUUCUUCUAUUAAUCUCCAUUCCCUCAACUUCUGCUAAUAAUUUGCCCAAGUGUCGUCCUAUCAAAUGAUUUCAGAAGACCAGAGAUUAGGUUUAAAGCUUCUUCUCUCUUUUCAGAGAAAUACAUCAUAUCACUCUGGAACAAUGUCUACCAUCUCACACUUAUCUUCAUCUGCUAAAUUACAACUUUCCUUCAAACUUCUGCAUUCUCAGUUGCUGUUAAAUAUACCACUCCUCCCCACUUUGUCUCCAAAACAGAAGCAGACAAUCUGUGCUUUAUGAAUUCCAGUAUCAGCUUAAUCUAGCAGGCUGACAUAAAACCCCUGCUAUUGGACGUGAGAGCUCAUGUGAUUUUUAUUUAGUGUUUUUAUUUGUUUAUUUAUUUCUUGAGAACUCUUAAUCAUGUUGAUCCACUAAGUUUCUGGAUAUAUUUUUUCUUCAGAUAUUGGUGAUUUUUGAAUCAGAUAAAGAAUUUGCACAGUUUUAUAAACAAUAUUUAUAUGGUUAUAUAAAACUGAUUCUGAUUUUCCUCUGGCAUACAAAGAAGUCAGGAAAUAUACUUUCAGGUGCUGGAUACUUUCUCUGGGGACAUGAGAAGCAGAAAGCAGCCACACUGUUCAGAAAAGCUGAGAUCAUCAAAACUCAGUUCUUAAAUACAGGCAUCUCUUGAAGAACAUCUGGAUUUUCAGAGUGCUGAGCGUCAAACAGCUUACAGUGAAGGUAACAGGAGAUGCUCAGUUCUUAGAAUCUUGCAGAAAACAAAAUCAAUUGAACCUGAAUGCAGAUGUGAGACUCCUAGUUCUGACUUCUUCCAUAUGUUAAAGUUUUGAUGAACAUCACGGACAGUUUUAUUCCAAAUGCUAUAACCGAAGUAAAUGCAAUUGUAUUUACUUUGAGUGCCCAACGUGUAAUCCUGAUGAAGCUAAAAUGUAUACCAGAAAGUAACAUUUUCUGUCUCUAGACUGGAUUCAAUCAAUCAACUCAGAAGUUCUGAGUUCUACAUUGGAUUCAGCAGCACUUCUGACUUAGUAUAUUUUCACCUGAAAAACCUUCUAAAAAUCCAAGGUAACUGAUUACAAUGAACAUUUUCAGAUACACGAUAUAUACACAUGUGAAGUGUUUGCAGCUCAUUCAUUCCAUGCAAACAAUGAGAAAAGCAAAGCACCGUUUCCAUACUGCAGAUGCAGGUGCUUGGGCAGCUAAGGAAAUAACUUCCUUUGGCUGCCAUGGGUAACCCAGUGCAGAAGGAGCACAGUUCUUAGCACUUGCUGGAAAAAGGCACCAGAAUCUGCCUGAACAUCAGAGCCAAAUCACGGUCUGUUACUACCUUGGUUCAAAAAGGAAUUGUCAGAAAUAUGACAGAGGUAACACCGGACAGAGAGAUUUCCUCUUGUGUUACUGCCUUCAACAGGCAGCAGGCAGUGGUAUGGGCUGCGGGCAAAACUUCAGCUCCUUGUUUUCCACCUCCCAGCCAGCUUCACCCCCACAUUUUAUAACCCCGAGGUCACUGGAUCCGUUCAUCCACACACUCUCGAGAGUGGCUUGGAAUGCACGGAGAAAGCAUUGUGACAAAAUGCAGGUAGGGCUUGCUGCACACCAGGAAACUUUUGGCAAAGGGGAAAAAAAUAAGGUGUCCCUCCGUGAGCGCAGGUGGCUUGAUCAGAAAUGUCACAAGGCAGGAAGAGGGCUCGCGGCUCUCACAUUCUGCUGCAGAGAUCUCGGCCUGCGCACCGGGGCUUACCAUAAAGCCCGAGCAGAAGGCAGGACGCAGGUAUAGCCGAUCUCCGACUGCAUCUUCAUCCAGAGCCGCCGUUCCAGCCCGCAGCCCCGCUCCGCGCAGCUGCAAGUGAGCAGCUCCGCCAGCUCCGCGCGGACGGACCCGCUGGACCCCCACCGCCCUCUCCCCACCCGAGGGUUGCCCUGCGGCAGCGACGGGGCCCAGGCUGCCACUUCCCGAACCCACCUUGCC